rnacentral:rRNA from 2 species
GGAAGGCCCUUCGGGGUACUCGAGCGGCGAACGGGUGAGUAACACGUGAGCAACCUGCCCUAGGCUUUGGGAUAACCCUCGGAAACGGGGGCUAAUACCGGAUAUUACUGCUGGACGCAUGUUUGGUGGUGGAAAGUUUUUCGGCCUGGGAUGGGCUCGCGGCCUAUCAGCUUGUUGGUGGGGUGAUGGCCUACCAAGGCGACGACGGGUAGCCGGCCUGAGAGGGCGACCGGCCACACUGGGACUGAGACACGGCCCAGACUCCUACGGGAGGCAGCAGUGGGGAAUAUUGCACAAUGGGCGGAAGCCUGAUGCAGCGACGCCGCGUGAGGGAUGACGGCCUUCGGGUUGUAAACCUCUUUCAGCAGGGACGAAGCGCAAGUGACGGUACCUGCAGAAGAAGCGCCGGCCAACUACGUGCCAGCAGCCGCGGUAAGACGUAGGGCGCGAGCGUUGUCCGGAUUUAUUGGGCGUAAAGAGCUCGUAGGCGGCUUGUCGCGUCGACUGUGAAAACCCGUGGCUCAACUGCGGGCCUGCAGUCGAUACGGGCAGGCUAGAGUUCGGUAGGGGAGACUGGAAUUCCUGGUGUAGCGGUGAAAUGCGCAGAUAUCAGGAGGAACACCGGUGGCGAAGGCGGGUCUCUGGGCCGAUACUGACGCUGAGGAGCGAA